UAACGACUCUCGGCAACGGAUAUCUCGGCUCUCGCAUCGAUGAAGAACGUAGCGAACUGCGAUACUUGGUGUGAAUUGCAGAAUCCCGUGAACCAUCGAGUCUUUGAACGCAAGUUGCGCCCGAAGCCGUUUGGCCGAGGGCACGUUUGCCUGGGUGUCAC
rnacentral:rRNA from 1 species